CCCUUAGAUGUUCUGGGCCGCACGCGUGCUACACUGAGUGGAUCAGCGGGUCAGGUUACGCGAGAGCGUUUCCUAAUCUUCAAAUCCGCCCGUGAUGGGGAUUGACGGUUGCAAUUUUCCGUCAUGAACGAGGAAUACCUUGUAAGCGCGGGUCAUCAUCCCGCGCUGAAUACGUCCCUGCCCUUUGUACACACCGCCCGUCGCUCCUACCGAUUGAGUGGUCCGGUGAGGCUUUGGGAUCUAAGCGAAAAGAGCGUUUCGCUCCUUUUGCUGGGAGAACUCAGUCGAACCUUAUCAUUUAGAGGAAGGAGAAGUCGUAACA
rnacentral:rRNA from 1 species